AGCGGCAUGGUGUAUGGUGCACGCGGGUUCUGGUUGCAUAGCAUUGCAGUAUUGGUCUCGAGGUCCUCGUUCGAUUCGGGGUGCUGCUA